rnacentral:rRNA from 1 species
GACGAAAGUGACAAGCGUUGUUCGGAAUCACUGAGCAUAAAGCGCACAUAAAUAACACCAUAAAUCAAAUGUGAAAUCCCUCGGCCCAACCGAGGAACUGCGUCCGAUACUGCGGUGCUUGAGGGUCAAAGGGGUGCAUGGAAUUCCCAAUGGAACAAUGAAAUGCGUUGAUAUCGGGAGGAACGCCGGCGGCGAAAGCGGUGCACUGGUUGACUUCUGACACUCAUGUGCGAAAGCCAGGGGAGCAAACGGG